AGACUGUGUUCAAAAGCCUGUAGAACAAACUUAUCAUCACUAAACAGGCUGAUAGAUAGACUUGCAUAUGCAUAUUUUUGCUACAGAAGUACCUGUUACUACACAGAGAGAAACAGCUUAAGUAAAACACCACCUAGAGCAAUGAACUUUCUCUGGCACUACAAUUUUUUAUUGAGAAGAGGAAUUAAAAAAAAUGGUAAUUCUACAGUGUUUGGGAGACUGGCUCAAACUUGCACAAUACUAAUGCAACGUCUGACCUAUGUUCAGGCCAGGAAGUUUCUGACAUGAUAUGGGUGCUCAAGCAGGGAAGAGAACACGGAAACACGACUCCAGCCCUUCUGGCUGAACACAAGAUGCGAGCUUAUCACCCGUGGAAAUGUGUGUCUCCAUGAAACCCUUCCUCUCCCCCUCCUCGAGGCUUGCAGCAGAGCCACUCCAGGAAGAUCAAUCAUGAGGGCUGUGUAAUGGGCUAAAAAUAAUGUGAGUUGUAAAACUCUGGAAACUGUUGGUCAUUUUGGGAUUUGAAGAUUCACAUGUCAGUCAAUACCAAUGACUCUUGAAUCUGGACAACAGUAGGAGCUUCUCACACCUUUUCCUUUGAAGAUACAAAGAAGCCCAACGCCUACCUGUUUCUAAAGCCCUGUCAUCAGUUUGAAGCAGAUUCAGAAUGAGGAAGAUGCUUGAGUUCAAGGAGUGGGAAUGGAAAGAAGGACAGAUUAGAAGUUACAAGAGUUGAAGAAAAUUCUGUCAUGUCUUUGUCUUCAAGCAGAAGGCUAUCAAACAAAGCUGCCCAACCUUACACUCAUCCAUCAUCCUUGAGUUAUUAAGAAAAUAGCUGCAGAACAUUUACAAGUGGAUGGGAUGGAUUGCUGGCUACUUUUCAAGAACACAGUCAAUGCUACAAAAACUUUGCAAGAUGGCAAAUUUUCUCAUGUUUCCUGUUCCUUGCUCUGCUACGACCUGCUAGAAGGAAUGGUUUCUUGAAUUUUGGGGUGACUAAUCUAGGUUGAUGCUAAAACUGUUAAUCAUUCAUAUCUAAUACCAGAUUAUAAUUUUAUCUGAGUAAAAUAUUUCUUUUUUUGGUAACUUUUUCUUAAAAAGGCUGUGGGAUACAUUGGAGGCAAGGAAGGGGUCAGAAUAAGUGCAGAUAUCUGAGGGCUAGUGUUAUAUGCCUUUCACAAGGUUAGGCUUAAAAAAAUCAAUGCCUGAAAGUAGAGGUUAAGAGAUUGCAAGUGUCUCACAUGAGAAGUGUAACAAAAUGAAAGUAAAAUAGAUCAUAACUGCACGACUUUUUCUCAGUGAUUAAAAGAGAGAGGUUGGGAUGGAGUGGAGUUGCCAUGUAAUAAUCUAAGAAUCUGAUCAGCAAUUUAGGGUGUGCACAAAGACAUCUAUGCUCCUGCAGUAUUAUUUACUCCCACAGCUUGAAAUGCUUGGAAACACAGUGCAGAGGUUCCAUGCAGGCCUGCACUGAACCAGACAUGGUGUAGCCCUGAGUGCUGUGCCAGCUGAACAUGAUUAUUCUGCCUUGCAGUCCCUCUUGGCAUAUCCACACAGUACUUUGCUGUGCUGUGAGACUUACCAAAUCAGCUCAGUGCUAGCUUGGGGAUCUCUGCAUUAUGUUCUCUGCAAUUUAAAUGUACCCUUGGAAAUUAAGCUAAUUUGUUUGACUUCUAGAGGGGUAGGAGGUUGCUUCCUGACUAGCCAGCAUUGCUCUAAUUAGGUGGGACUAUCAGAAGACCAAAACAUGUCAGUCUGUACAGCGACUUUGCAGACAACAAUAUCUCGGCAGUCACUGAAACACUGCUCCAUUUGAGCAUCCUAUAGGCUACUCAGUGAAAAGCUCCAGGUUCUUCUUUGCUGGUUUAGAUACCUACAAAUCCAGAGAUCAGCAAAUUUAUUCCCAAGAGGGAGCAGUCAGCUGUCUGGAGCUGCCACUGGGCACAGGUCAAAGUGGGGAGAGGUUUUGGAGUCCAGAGGAGCAGCCAUCAGUCAGCCUUAGUGGGAGGCAGAGAGACAAACUGAUACAGAUAGCUCUUUUGUUGUGGAGCCUUUUUCUCUGCCUUGCCUUUGCUCUGAGUAACCAGGCUCUGCCUUAGCAAGGCUGUUUGCUGAUGGACACCACUACGCUCGUGGAGGCAGAAGAACUGAGAAUGAGUCAGGACCAUGAGAUAAUCCUGGCUGACCACAGCAAACUGGAGCCUGGGAGAGUCAUGGGGCUCUCUGGCAGGAGACAUGGAAACUAGGAGCCUGGGACUAUGAGAGGGAGCACCUGAUGGGAUCAGGAAUGUAAUUUACACAGUUAUAAUGACAAAAUUUAUGAACUUGCAUUUUUAAAUUCUUCUUUUUUGUGCCAGUUCAGAAAUUGGCCACAAAGUUUUGUUUAUAGACAGUAGUAAAUUUAGCAUGUCAGAAAGCAUUUAGUAUCAGGAAAAGUAGCAGUUACACUACUAAAACAUGACUAAUUUUCAGCAGCUCCACACUGUGAGUUGCCACUCAAUAACAACACUGCUUGGUGACUCCACCCUGCUUGUACAGCAAUUAGCUGGCUUUUACCACUCCAUGUUGUGAAGGACCUCAGCAAACACAGCACAGACUAGUCUUAGGGAGUAUUUACCGAAGUUGUUGUUUGUGAAGAAAUAUCACAAAUUGAGCCACAAUUACAUGAAACACAAAGGAUAAAUUUCAGUGAUAAAUUCUUCUACUCAGGAGGGAAGCUGAAUGAAAAGCAAUGGUUCCCCGCUGUAGCUGCACUCUUCUCCUCGCUUUUGUCAUUUUGUUUCGUAUCUUCCCUCUGACUUUUCUUCCUACUGUAUGUUGCUGUGAUGAACAUCACACCUGAUACCACCCAGCCUUAGCAACCCUCUGCCUUGCCUUCUGGCUCUCCUCCCUGUCUUCCUCUCAGUGACUUGUAUUUUCGUUCAGAGAUUCCAUCUCAUUAAUUAAGUUUCCAGCUGCUCCACCUCCCUCCUGAUGUGGCAUUCAACUCUAGCUCAACACUUUUAACAAAAUCCCUGGUUAUCAACCUGAUAUUUAUCAAGCACAUUUAUCUUCCUCUUGUUUAAGUCUCCUCCAGCACUGGCCUUAUCCUUUGCUUCAUUAUUUGGUUCUUCCAUUACUCCCAGGCCAUAAAUUCCCUCAAAGCUUUCUUUGUCGUUGAUCUACUUCUUCAACUCUCUUUGAACUUCUGUGUUGCACCAACACCCUGAGUGCUGGCUAUAACCCUGACUAUAGUCUGAAGAACGUGUCCACAAGAAGCACUGAAUGUUCAUGCAAGUUCACCCUGAUUUUGGAGACAGUUUCCAGUCUCCUGCUGGCACAUCUGAUGCAAAGGAAAGUCAAGUACUAGUUGUCUACUUUCAAAUUGCUCUUCUACAUGUUAUUUUGGUUUAUCCCUAAGCAAAACAAUCCUGCCUUUUUCCUUACAAUAUUUAGGAAGUAAACCUAUGUUAUAUAUUGAUUAUUCUGCUCACGCUUUGAUUCCUAGGGCAAAUGAUCUGCCCAGGUAGUCCAAGAAAAAUCCCCUCCAUUUAACCCUUCUGUGUUAGCACCAACCCAGAGACCAGCUUCUUAGACCUCACUUCUUUCUACUCUUUCCUUGUCAGCUUCUUUGUCAGCCAGCUUCAUGCUAUCAUGUCCCACACUGCAACCAAUGGCAAGUUUCCUGUCGAAGUUUAUAAAACUGCUGUCUUACAAAUAAUUCCUUGUGCUUCUCCCUUUGUUGUCAUUACCUUGAAAGCAGUUCCAUGUACCAGUGCCUAGAAAGGCAGUGAGCUUAUUCUUUUCAGAACAAGCCAUGCCAGACCAGAAGAGAGCAGCACAUUUUGUUUUGUCUUUUGAAAUUCUUAGUAUAUUAAAAGGAUCUCAUUCUGAUGCCAUUUUCUCCUAUUUUCAAAUAUUUAUUUGCAUUCCCACUCUCCCUAUAGUUUUUCUCAUCUUUCCCUUCCCUACGAGGUCCAGAGACAUUAUCAUUGCAUCCCAUAUGAGCCAAAUUAUGCCAACAGCCAGGAGGUGUGGUGGAGGCUAACUUGGGUCACACAAUUUCACUCAUCUAGGCCAUCCAGUCCUUAGUUAUUUCAGGUAAUGAGUUCAAAAUAAAUCUUAAGCCGUUAAGACAACAAUAUGACUUGAUUCUGGGUUGUAUUUUCUGUGAACAGAAUUCCUAGGAGUAUUGA